rnacentral:rRNA from 1 species
AAAACUCGCAGAGCGGAUGAAUUUCCGCCAUUUUCCAAGGGAUUCUGAACUAUCAGCUCAUACAGAGGGUAGUGUCCUCUGUAGGCCGUGACGGUUUCGGGGCAUUAGAGUGCGAUGCCGGAGAGUAAGCACGAGAGUCGGCUUACACAUUCAAGGGAGGCAGCAGUCGCGAAAAUUAUCCAAUACUAACGCAGUGAGAUAGCGACAGCCAAUAAUAAGAGAUAAACUUUGUUUACCUCAUUUAAAAUGAAGUACCCCUAAACCCGGUACUGAGAAGCUAGUCGUGGGCAAGCCUGGUGCCAGCAGCCGCGGUAAUUCCAGCACGACGAGUGUAUGAUUAAAUUGUUGCAAUUAAAAUGCGCCUAGUUGUAUUUCGGGGUGACUAGUAUUUAUGCAGGAAACUGUUGUAGGUGCUGUUGCUCCUUCUUUCUGUAUAUGUGUCUCUUUGAGGCGUGUAUGCAGUUGUUUAUUAUGAAGAAAUCAGAGUGCUCAAGGCAGACUUUUGUCAUUGAAUGCUCCAGCAUGGAAUAAUACGCAGGUCAGAAAUCACUGUUUUGGUUCGGUGGUUUUUGACUAGGUUCAACAGGAACGGUUCGUGGUCUUAAGUAUUCUGGGGUUAGCGGUAAAAUGCAAUGAUCCUCAGAAGACUAACUGAAGCGAAGGCGUCUGACUAGUACGUUUCCUCUAAUAAAGCGCGAAGGUUUGGGGAGCGAAGAGGAUUAGAUACCCUUGUAGUCCAAACAUUAAACGAUGACGAUUCGGGAUGCGUAGAAGAAACUAAUUCUCUAUGCGCACCGUAAGAAAAAUCAAAAUAAGUCUUUGGGGGGAGUAUGGUCGCAAGGCUGAAACUUGAAAGAAUUGACGGAAGGGCACCACCAGGGGUGGAGUUUGCGGCUUAAUUUGACCCAACGCGGGAAAUCUCACAAGGGUAAGAGCCAAUAAGGAUUGACUGAUUGAAGCUCUUUCUUGAUUCUGGCAAAGGUGGUGCAUGGCCGUUCUUAGUUCGUGUUGUGAAAUGUCUACUUGAUUGUGAUAACGAGCGAGACCAUUAUGGAUCAAUACUCAAUUGUUGCCUGUGCAGCAGUGAGUUCUUAUCUAGACUAUCAGUGUAAGCUUAAGGAAGCAAGUGGCGAUAACAGGUCAGGAAUGCCCUUCGAUACCCUUGGCUGCACGCGUACUACAAUGCGACCUUCAACAAGCAUGUAUUGGUGCGAAGGCACUGAUUAAUCAUGAAAAGGUUGCGUGCUGGGGAUUGCCGAUUGCAAUUAUUCGGCACGAACGUGGAAUCCCUUGUAAGUGCAAGUCAUUAUCUUGUACUGAAUACGUCCCUGCCCUUUGUACACACCGCCCGUCGCUUCUACUGAUGAUGCGCAGGAUGAGAUUGUUGGAUCGGUACUGCUUU